UCCACCUCCUCCGCUCUUCUCGAGUUCCGAUUUCACCAUAGAUUCAAAACAAUAGAAUGAAUACACAGUUAUGGCAACCAAGUAUUGGUUUUUAUAUAUACAAACCCUAAAUCCCUAUUUCAAUUGGAAAUUGAACAGAUUGAGGAAACAAGGGAAAAAAAAAAAAAAAGCCAACGCAAGCAGAGCAAACCUGGGUCUGGAAUUGAUCGGAAAACUGAAGCUGAGAAUCGGUGGGUUGGUCUGAAAUUGAUAGGAGAACUGAAGAUUUUACGAACGCCCAAAUCGCUCGUUCAACGCGAUCAUGACUCUUGCCGUCUGCGAAUAAAUAGGGAUUUUUCUAAUUUUAUAAUUUCUGUUUUUGGGCCUUGAGUGGGCCGGAUCGGCCCAAUGUGGAGAAAACACAGGCCCAUCCAGCUGAUGACUAACAAAGUUCCCGCUUUCAGGUGAACUGAAGCCCUAAAAAGAGUUUCAGAGCAAGGAGGAGACUGCGAACAGAAAAAAAAAAAAAGGGGAGGAAUCGGUUUUUUCUUCUUGAAUUGAUUGUUUAAGUAUACAAUAUGGCCAUUUAAGCUAUAAAGAGCUGGAAACCAUUAGAGAAUCUUCACUUUCGGUCCGAACUACGAGCCAAGGCAAGCAAUGGAGUGAUGGGCAGGUCCUAUACAAGAUGUCCCCCAGAACUGCCCAAAUCCGUCUUGUCAGCUCACAUCGCGAGGUUUAUGAACCGUGCGAUGAUUCAUUUGCUUUAGUAGAUGCUCUUUUGGCUGAUCAAGCAAACCUGUUACGGCAUCAACCAAAAUUGUGCCUGGAACUGGGCUGUGGUAGUGGCUAUGUUAUUACUUCUCUAGCUCUUAUUCUUGGCAAGGAGGGGCACUAUAUUGCAACUGAUAUCAACCCCCAUGCUGUGAGAGUGACUCAGGAGACACUUGAAGCACACGGGGUUCAUGCAGAAUUGAUAAACACUAACAUUGCAUCAGGACUUGAGACGCGUCUGGCAGGAUUAGUUGAUGUAAUAGUUGUGAACCCGCCUUAUGUGCCUACUCCUGAAGAUGAAGUGGGUCGUGAAGGGAUUGCAUCUGCUUGGGCUGGCGGAGAGAAUGGUCGUGCUGUGAUUGAUAAGAUACUGCCUGUUGCCGAUAAUCUUUUGUCAGAGAAAGGCUGGUUGUAUAUGGUCACACUUUCAGAAAACAAUCCAUCAGAGAUAUGCCUUCAAAUGAGAGAGAAGGGCUAUGCUUCCAGAAUCCUUGUCCAGAGAUUGACAGACGAAGAAAGUCUCCAGAUCAUCAAGUUCUGGCGGGAUUUUGAUUCUCAAUUAGAAGAGAAGGAGAUGGCAGAAAACAAAACAGUUCCGUCAAGGGUCAUGGAGUCUUUGCUCUCUCAAUUUCCUAGAAUGCCAUUUUUGAGAGGCAAUAACAGCAACAGUAGCUGAUGAAUAGACAAGGUUAAAACAAAAAGUUUUCUGGUGUUUACAUGUUUGAUAAUAGUUCCUCUUCUUCUCUGAUUGGUGUAAACUUGUAGAACCGUCUGCUUAUGUGAGAUUUCAAAAGAAAUAUUAGAUUUGUGUUCCUUUGCUUGAGGUUGACGGUUUCAACUGCCUAAAUCAAAGCCUCUGAGUCACUCCUGUAAAGAGUUCAAUGUGUAUGCAACUCUUGAGAGAUGGACCCUAGAACUUCUUUUUAGCUGCUUCUUUACUGUAAGAAUCAUUUUCCACUUUAGUAGCAAUGGAAAAAACUAAGAUUCAGUUGCUGAUGCCACUCUACAUGUCACUCAUCAGUUUGACUCAAGCUCAGUGUUCGUUUUAUUGUUGAGAUUGGAGUCAUUCUACUCAGUUUUGUUGUAAUACUAACCUGCUGGAUUCAAAGCAGCGACCUCAUUUCACCCACUAGUAUCAUCACCAAUGAAAUUGGCAUACACGAGAUGAUUAUUUUCUGAUGCUUGAAGUCGUGCUGGUAAGAAAUUGAAACAAAUUUGUUAAGACUUGAGGCAUGUGCAAUUCUUCAAGUUUGGUGGAUCAUGGAUUGCUCAGCCGAAAUUACUAGACCUUGUAAAUGAUAACGUAACUUAACAACCUAUGGGGUGCCUGUGAAAGCUGCCGUCUGGCUGUCUGCCCCAUUAGCAGGUGGGUUUCCUCUCACAAAAGAUAGCAAAAGAAAAGUAGUCUGAUUG